rnacentral:rRNA from 1 species
GACGAACGCUGGCGGCGCGCCUAACACAUGCAAGUCGAACGGAAAGGCCUGCUUUCCCUUGUGGAUUGCGGGUACUCGAGUGGCGAACGGGUGAGUAACACGUGAGUGAUCUGCCCCCAACUUGGGUAUAAGCCUGGGAAACUGGGUCUAAUUCCCGAUAGGACUGCAGGGUGGUGCCUGUGGUGGAAAACGAUUUUCUAGUGGUUGGGGAUGAGCUCGCGGCCUAUCAGCUUGUUGGUGGGGUAAUGGCCUACCAAGGCGGCGACGGGUAGCCGGCCUGAGAGGGUGGACGGCCACAUUGGGACUGAGAUACGGCCCAGACUCCUACGGGAGGCAGCAGUGGGGAAUAUUGCACAAUGGGCGGAAGCCUGAUGCAGCGACGCCGCGUGGGGGAUGACGGCCUUCGGGUUGUAAACUCCUUUCGACCGCGAGGAAGCCGCCUGGUUGGAAGGGUGGUGACGGUAGUGGUAGAAGAAGCACCGGCUAACUACGUG